CUGGAACUCUACUACACAGAUGGACAUGGAUUUCUGUGGCUUGAUAAACCAUCUGGAUUUCUUACAUUUAGGGUGAAUCCAAUUAUUUGUUCUUUCCUUUGGAGGGUGAAAAGUGUCUUCCCAACAAGCUUCUGUUCACAGACUAAGAAAGAUGGAGUCUUUCCUCUUGGAUGACGUCAGCUCUGUGAUACGGAACAAAGGCAUUGAGAGAAUCAUCUCACCAAUGAUCGUUCAGCUUUGCCAUCUCCUCAUCUCAAUGGAGAGGAAAGAAGUGGAGAAUGAAGUGUUUGCCUCGUUGGAGAUGAUGGCUGAGGAAUUGGCUAAAGCUUGUGAAGACUUUGUGCAAGUUGCCAAAAGGUAAUUCUUUCAAAGAACACAAUAAAUUUUCACUCUGACAAAUUUGCAGAAGAAGGAAAGUGUAACUAGAGACUUAUUAUAAUCUUAAGUGCUUUUGGAAAGAAGUUGGAUGAGAAAAAAAUAAAUUGAUAAAACACA